rfam:Triticum aestivum genome assembly, contig: Triticum_aestivum_CS42_TGACv1_scaffold_404643_5BL
AAAGUACUCCCUCCGUCCCAAAAUUCUUGUCUUAGUUUUUUCUAGAUACGGAUGUAUCAAGUUAUAGAUACAUCCGUAUCUAGACAAAUCUAAGACAAAAAAUUUGGGACAGAGGGAGUAGUUG